CAAGUCGAACGAUGAAGUUCCUUCGGGAAUGGAUUAGUGGCGAACGGGUGAGGAACACGUGAGAAACCUGCCUUUCAUUCUGGGAUAACACCGGGAAACCGGUGCUAAUACCGGAUACUCCGUCUUGGCGGCAUCGCCGAGCCGGGAAAAAAUUUUGAUGAAAGAUGGUCUCGCGGCCUAUCAGCUAGUUGGUGAGGUAACGGCUCACCAAGGCGACGACGGGUAGCCGGCCUGAGAGGGCGACCGGCCACACUGGGACUGAGACACGGCCCAGACUCCUACGGGAGGCAGCAGUAGGGAAUAUUGGGCAAUGGGCGCAAGCCUGACCCAGCGACGCCGCGUGAGGGAUGAAGGUCUUCGGAUUGUAAACCUCUUUCAGUAGGGAAGAAGCGAAAGUGACGGUACCUAAAGAAGAAGCACCGGCUAACUAUGUGCCAGCAGCCGCGGUAAUACAUAGGGUGCAAGCGUUGUCCGGAAUUAUUGGGCGUAAAGAGCUCGUAGGUCGUUUGUCGCGUCGAUUGUGAAAAUCUGAGGCUCAACCUCAGACCUGCAGUCGAUACGGGCAAACUAGAGUGUGGUAGGGGAGACUGGAAUUCCUGGUGUAGCGGUGGAAUGCGCAGAUAUCAGGAGGAACACCAAUGGCGAAGGCAGGUCUCUGGGCCAUAACUGACACUGAGGAGCGAAAGUGCGGGGAGCGAACAGGAUUAGAUACCCUGGUAGUCCGCACCGUAAACGGUGGGCACUAGUUGUGGGAACCUUCCACGGUUUCCGCGACGCAGCAAACGCAUUAAGUGCCCCGCCUGGGGAGUACGAUCGCAAGAUUAAAACUCAAAGGAAUUGACGG
rnacentral:rRNA from 1 species